rnacentral:rRNA from 1 species
CCUACGGGUGGCAGCAGUGGGGAAUAUUGGACAAUGGGGGGAACCCUGAUCCAGCCAUGCCGCGUGUGUGAAGAAGGCCCUCGGGUUGUAAAGCACUUUCAGUGAGGAAGAACGCCUGGUGGUUAAUACCCAUCAGGAAAGACAUCACUCACAGAAGAAGCACCGGCUAACUCCGUGCCAGCAGCCGCGGUAAUACGGAGGGUGCGAGCGUUAAUCGGAAUUACUGGGCGUAAAGCGCGCGUAGGUGGCUUGAUAAGCCGGUUGUGAAAGCCCCGGGCUCAACCUGGGAACGGCAUCCGGAACUGUCAAGCUAGAGUGCAGGAGAGGAAGGUAGAAUUCCCGGUGUAGCGGUGAAAUGCGUAGCGAUCGGGAGGAAUACCAGUGGCGAAGGCGGCCUUCUGGACUGACACUGACACUGAGGUGCGAAAGCGUGGGUAGCAAACAGGAUUAGAUACCCUAGUAGUC